rnacentral:rRNA from 1 species
AAUUCGAUGCAACGCGAAAAACCUUACCUACCCUUGACAUGUCUGGAAGCUCGAAGUGAUUUGAGUGUGCUCGCAAGAGAACCGGAACACAGGUGCUGCAUGGCUGUCGUCAGCUCGUGUCGUGAGAUGUUGGGUUAAGUCCCGCAACGAGCGCAACCCUUGUCACUAGUUGCUACGCAAGGGCACUCUAGUGAGACUGCCGGUGACAAACCGGAGGAAGGUGGGGAUGACGUCAAGUCCUCAUGGCCCUUAUGGGUAGGGCUUCACACGUCAUACAAUGGUCGGGACAGAGGGUUGCCAACCCGCGAGGGGGAGCCAAUCUCAGAAACCCGAUCGUAGUCCGGAUUGCAGGCUGCAACUCGCCUGCAUGAAGUCGGAAUCGCUAGUAAUCGCGGAUCAGCAUG